rnacentral:rRNA from 1 species
GCUUACGGCCAUAUCAGCCUGGGUACGCCCGAUCUCGUCUGAUCUCGGAAGCUAAGCAGGGUCGGGCCUGGUUAGUACUUCGAUGGGAGACCGCCUGGCAAUACCAGGUGCUGUAAGCA